ensembl:lncRNA
CAUGGGCGGAGGAGGCUGCUGCCAAAGCGGCCGAGGUUUUUGUGUAUUUUGAGGGGUAACGGUUCUCCAUCUUCAGCAGCGAAACGUUGUGCCUUUCCUUUGGAGGCACGAGGUGGCAAGAUGGCGGUGCAAAUUCCCAAGAAGGGAAAGCUUGUUGCUGAUGGCAUUUUCAAAGGUGAACUGAAUGUUUCUCACUCAGGAGCUGGCUAAAGAUGGCUACUCUGGAGGUGAGGUCCAGCUUACACCAACCAGGACAGAACUCAUUAUCUUGGCCACCAGGACAUAGAAUUUUCUUGGUGGGAAGGGCCGUGGGUCUGUGAAUUGAUCACUGUGGUUCAGAAGAAAUUUGACUUCCCUGAGGGCAGUGUAGAGCUUUAUGCUGAACAGGUGGCCACAAGGGCUCUGUGUGCCAUUGCCCAGGCAGAGUCUCUGUGUUGCAGAGUCUCUGUGUUACAGUCUCCCAGGGGAGCUUGCUGUGCGGAAGGCCUGCUAUGGUGCGCUGAGACUCAUCACGGAGAACGGGGCCAAGGGCUGCCAAGUCAUGUGUCUGGAAAACUCUGAAGACAGACAGUUCAAUCCAAGAAGUUUGUGGAUGGCCUGAUGACCCACAGUGGAGACCCUGUUAAUCACUGUGUCGACUCUACCAUGUGCCAUAUGCUGCUCAGACAGGGAGUAGAUGCCUCCAGGCAUUUUUAACACAGAGAAAAAUAUUAAUGAUCAAACAUAAAGAAGUGAAGAGAUGCUCCUUCAGGGCAAGUAUGGUUUUGAACAGAGAAACUAGAAGACAGAUAAUCCACAGAGAACUGUCCCAUCUUAAGGACAAAAGUGGAGAACCCACGUGGAGGUGUGUCCAGUCCAGAGGAGUCUUUCUUUGCAAACUCAUAGAUGCACUUUGGGGAUGUGGUCAUCAGUGCAGAAAUCAUGUAGAAGAAGAAACUGACAGACUUUUCUCCCAUACUUGACUUGUCGUAAACCCACAGUGAAAUUAAUUUUGGUUUCUAUUUAUGUGUCUUGUGGCUGCAGCCUGCGACGAUAUGAACCACUCUUAUGCUGAAUGUGUACUUGUGCCUGAGUGAAGUUUCUAUAUGAAUUCAAUAAUUGUUCAGUUCUUCACUUCGCUUCGUCAACAGUGUUCACUGCACACCUGCUGUGCUCUGUAACGGAGGUACUCGGGGGAUGUGCAGAGACACUUGCAUCCUCCCUGGCCCUCUGGCUGAGCUCUGGCAGAUGCCAAGCUGGUUUAUCACCCAAGGCUGGGCCCAUGUGUCCCUUCUAGGGCCACUCAGCCCAGGAAUUUUUUCCUUCCAAAUUUCUUUCCAACUGUACAUUUAGUUCUUUGUAAAUGUUUCCUGAAUACCUGUCUUAUUACUAAAUAUUUUUCCAGUGUAUAUUCUCUCUUACACAUGAAAUCAUAAACCUCUUAAAGGUGAAUACAUAUUCAUAUUACUUCUUAGCAUCUUACUUCUUAGCAUCGCCAUCCCAAUCACAGAGCCUAACACGAUUUGAUAUGUGUUUAUUUUACUUUAAAGCAUAAUUUGUCUUUAUUAUAUAAUUACACUUGUUCAUAAUGAAAAUGUUCAUUAUGUAAAUUUAGAUAAUCUAGACAAGCAAAAAGAAGACUUUUAAGUUGCCCAAAGUUCUACCGUUCAAGAAUAAGUAUUGUUAACAUCGUGCAUGGGGUAUACACCAAACAGGAUAUAUAUUUACCCCAAGGAAGCUAAAAUUUUAAUGGAAUGAAUUGAAAUAUACACAACCACAAACAAGAAGGGGUGAGAUGAUGGAGUUAGGUUUCUUGAGAAGCCAGGAAGAUGAUGUGGUUUCUUGUGGCCCAGGGCAGGCAGCAUAAGUGUGCUUGUAGAGACUUGGCGAAGCGGGCCAUCCAGAAAAUAGUUCUCCCAUCAGCUCUUGGCGUCAUUAUCACAGGAAUAAAGACUGUCCUUCCACAGCAGCAUUGAAUGACAGGCAGAAGUGUGGUUCCCAAACCAGCAACAUCAGUGUCACCUGGGAACUUUUCAGAACUGCAUCUUCUCAGGUCCCAUCCUAGAUCCACUGAAUCAGAAACACUGGGGGUGGCCCAACAGGCUGUUUUAAGAAGCCGUCCAAGCGAUGCUGAUGCACAAUAAAGUCUGAGAAGCACUGUCUAAAAACUGGGAUUGUAUCUUGUUCAUUGUUGAGUUCUCUGUCUCAGCACCUGCUGCCUAGAAGAAUUUGUUAAAUCAAGAAGACAAGCACCAGGGCCAGUCCCAUGGCCUAGUGGUUGAAUUUGGUGCAGUCUGUUUCAGUGGCCUGGGUUCACAUGUUCACAUCCCGGGCAUGGACCUACACCACUCGUCAGCCAUGCUAUGGCGGUGACCCACAUACAAAAUAGAGGAAGACCGGCACAGAUGUUGGCUCAGGGCUAAUCUUCCUCAGGGAAAAAGAGGAAGAUUGGCCACAGAUGUUAGCUCAAGGUGAAUCUUCCUCACACACACACAAAGAAUACAAAUACCCCUGAGAGAUGCAUCGAUUUUUUAAAUUAUUUUUAUUAUGGUAUAUUGCUCAUAGAAAUAUGUAAAAGAUAAAUGAACCCCUAGUAUAUCCAGCCCUCUCUAUAGUUUGCCACGUUUCCUUCAGAUAUUUUUUUAAGAGAACAAAAACAUUGCAGAUACAACUGAGAACUUUCUGUGCAUCCUCUUCCUGAGCUCAUUCUCCUUUCUCCUUU